rnacentral:rRNA from 1 species
UACAGAGGGUGCGAGCGUUAAUCGGAAUUACUGGGCGUAAAGCGCGCGUAGGCGGCUUUGCAAGUCGGAUGUGAAAUCCCCAGGCUUAACCUGGGAACUGCACCCGAGACUGCAUCGCUAGAGUAUGGGAGAGGGAAGUGGAAUUUCAGGUGUAGCGGUGAAAUGCGUAGAUAUCUGAAGGAACAUCAGUGGCGAAAGCGACUUCCUGGGCCAAUACUGGCGCUCAUGUGCGAAAGCGUGGGGAGCAAACAGG